rnacentral:miRNA from 1 species
GCGCAUGCGCAUACGUUAUUUCUGGUGCACAUCUGGGUCGGAGGAGGCCCAUGCACAUGCACACAAGCUAUUUCUGGUGCUCCUCCGACCUGGAAGUGCGCCGGAAAUAGUGUGUGCGCACGCA